rnacentral:rRNA from 1 species
CGGAGAGGGCUAGCGUUAUUCGGAAUUAUUGGGCGUAAAGGGCGCGUAGGCUGGUUAAUAAGUUAAAAGUGAAAUCCCGAGGCUUAACCUUGGAAUUGCUUUUAAAACUAUUAAUCUAGAGAUUGAAAGAGGAUAGAGGAAUUCCUGAUGUAGAGGUAAAAUUCGUAAAUAUUAGGAGGAACACCAGUGGCGAAGGCGUCUAUCUGGUUCAAAUCUGACGCUGAAGCGCGAAGGCGUGGGGAGCAAACAGGAUUAGAUACCCUGGUAGUCCACGCUGUAAACGAUGAGUGCUAA